GAUCAUGGCUCAGGAUGAACGCUGGCGGCGUGCCUAACACAUGCAAGUCGAGCGAGAAGCUCAUGACGGACGCUUCGGUUGAAGUCACGAGUGGAAAGCGGCGGACGGGUGAGUAACGCGUAGGCAACCUGCCCUUUGCAGAGGGAUAGCCUCGGGAAACCGGGAUUAAAACCUCAUAAUACCGCAGUGAGACAUCUCACGGCGGUCAAAGAUUUAUCGGCAAAGGAUGGGCCUGCGU
rnacentral:rRNA from 1 species